GACGAACGCUGGCGGCGUGCUUAACACAUGCAAGUCGAACGGAAAGGCCCUGCUUUUGUGGGGUGCUCGAGUGGCGAACGGGUGAGUAACACGUGAGUAACCUGCCCUUGACUUUGGGAUAACUUCAGGAAACUGGGGCUAAUACCGGAUAGGAGCUCAUGCUGCAUGGUGGGGGGUGGAAAGUUUCGGCGGUUGGGGAUGGACUCGCGGCUUAUCAGCUUGUUGGUGGGGUAGUGGCUUACCAAGGCUUUGACGGGUAGCCGGCCUGAGAGGGUGACCGGCCACAUUGCGACUGAGAUACGGCCCAGACUCCUACGUGAGGCAGCAGUGGGGAAUAUUGCACAAUGGGCGGAAGCCUGAUGCAGCAACGCCGCGUGCGGGAUGCCGGCCUUCGGGUUGUAAACCGCUUUCGCCUGUGACGAAGCGUGAGUGACGGUAAUGGGUAAAGAAGCACCGGCUAACUACGUG
rnacentral:rRNA from 1 species